CAAGCAGCCGAGCCGAAGAAGCGACGCCAAUGCCAUAGAGCAAAUAAAAGGCCACCAAUGAUUGAGACCAACGUGUACAUCUACUGAUCACCAUCCAACGGUACUUAUCUACCCGGAACAAAUGGGGAAAAGUCUUAAAAUUUCCGUCUUUAAAACAUAAACAGGAGAGGAGACAGAGAGUGAGGGAAGAUGGGGAUAGAAGUCAAAUCAUGGGAAUUGGCGUUUGUUCCACACGCGCUCGCCAUUGCUGGUGCUGUUAUGGUGUUGGUUUGGUGCAUAUACUUGAGAGGUGGGUUAGCUUGGGAGUCUUCCAACAAAAGUCUCAUCUUCAAUUGAUUGAAAAGAGGGAAGCUGCUCCUUUAACCAUCACCAAACAAGAGAAGAUGGAAGCUUUUGUUAAAUUUGGAUUUUGUGGAGGUGCAAUGUGCAAAUGCCAAACACUAUGGGAAUGUAAUUUGUUUUGAAUUCAACAUCUAUUUCUCAUGAAUAUCACCUGCCUACCUACCCACGUUUUUCACCAACAUUAAGAAACAUCACUUGCCACGUGCCUCCCCAAAAUGGAUACUGUUUAUAGGAGGAACAAGGGCGACUUCUUCAGAUUAUUUUUUAAAUAAUCAAAAAAUUAUUUAAUGAAGACUUUGACAUAUUUACAAUUAUCACCAAUAUAUAAUAAUUAUUGUGAGAUUUAGUAUUUUGAAUUAAA